AUUGAACGCUGGCGGCAUGCCUUACACAUGCAAGUCGAACGGCAGCACGGACUUCGGUCUGGUGGCGAGUGGCGAACGGGUGAGUAAUAUAUCGGAACGUACCUUUCAGUGGGGGAUAACGUAGCGAAAGUUACGCUAAUACCGCAUAUUCUGUGAGCAGGAAAGCAGGGGAUCGCAAGACCUUGCGCUGAUUGAGCGGCCGAUAUCAGCUUAGCUAGUUGGUGAGGUAAAGGCUCACCAAGGCGACGAUCUGUAGCGGGUCUGAGUGGAUGAUCCGCCACACUGGAACUGAGACACGGUCCAGACUCCUACGGGAGGCAGCAGUGGGGAAUUUUGGACAAUGGGGGCAACCCUGACUCAGCCAUGCCGCGUGAGUGAAGAAGGCCUUCGGGUUGUAAAGCUCUUUCGGCCGGGAGGAAAUCGUGUGGGCUAAUACCCCAUAUGGAUGACGGUACCGGAAUAAGAAGCACCGGCUAACUACGUGCCAGCCGCCGCCGUAAUAC
rnacentral:rRNA from 1 species